rnacentral:lncRNA from 1 species
CCCAAUCAAACAAGUUAGGAGACAGACAGCAAUUGAGAUAGAAAAUACAAAAGAGAAUUGAGCAAGCUUGGCUCCAGCUCUAAUUUUUAGCUAGUUCACUUAUACCCGAAAGCUUUAUACCACUGUGAACUACCCAGUUUCAGCUAUCAAACCCAGUACAACCUUCUAGCAUUAACACUCACAAAAACUACCAUAGUCCGAAACUUUCCCAUUUCAACCAAACCCAUCUGUAAUCAGCAUCCACCAUCAACAACCAUAUCGAAUUCCUAGUUUCUAGCAGUCUCAAAGCACCUAAAAUUUUUCAGUCUUACAAUAAGCAUGCAAAGGCAGAACCCAGAACCAUAAGCCAUAUCGCAACAAAAAAAUCAAGCAAACAAAAAAACACAGAUAGUCAACAGAACCAUUCAUCGUAGCAAUUGAGAUUAAUCAAGCCACUCCCAAAUUGAUCAUGCCACCAGCAUCAAAUCUCCACCAAACAGCCAUCAACAUCAAUAACCCAAGAAAAAAAGGAAAAAAGUCAAAAAGAAAGAAACCAAAAAAAAAAAAGGAGUUUUCUUAGGUUGUGAGCUUUAAACCCAGUGAGGGAAUAGUCAAAAACAAAGGAAAGAACAUAUCUCAUUGUAGCGGCGAAGGAAUGGCAGAGGAAGAGAUUUUAUCUAGCCCAUGGCGUUUAAAGCCAGAUCUACAGAGUUAGAGACAUUUUCGUGGAAAACUAAUAAAACCACGUGAGAGUAGAGGCUUAUAGGACCUUUUUUGGAAUUUGUUAAAGUUUCUCGAUCAUCGUUGGAUGGGCUGACGGUGACGAUAACCGAUGGAGGGCAUGGCGAUUAUGGUGACCUCACCUAGUUCUAGGUUUCUUGGUCGCUGGAAUUCAUAUUGGCUAAAAAGAGGGAGAGAGAGAAAGCAUUGGAGAAAAAUGAAUCCAUGAAUUGAUUUUGGCCUUUUGUAAAUGACUCCAAAU